rnacentral:rRNA from 2 species
GGGUGACUGCGUACCUUUUGUAUAAUGGGUCAGCGACUUAUAUUCUGUAGCAAGGUUAACCGUAUAGGGGAGCCGCAGGGAAACCGAGUCUUAACUGGGCGUUAAGUUGCAGGGUAUAGACCCGAAACCCGGUGAUCUAGCCAUGGGCAGGUUGAAGGUUGGGUAACACUAACUGGAGGACCGAACCGACUAAUGUUGAAAAAUUAGCGGAUGACUUGUGGCUGGGGGUGAAAGGCCAAUCAAACCGGGAGAUAGCUGGUUCUCCCCGAAAGCUAUUUAGGUAGCGCCUCGUGAACUCAUCUUCGGGGGUAGAGCACUGUUUCGGCUAGGGGGUCAUCCCGACUUACCAACCCGAUGCAAACUACGAAUACCGAAGAAUGUUAUCACGGGAGACACACGGCGGGUGCUAACGUCCGUCGUGAAGAGGGAAACAACCCAGACCGCCAGCUAAGGUCCCAAAGUCAUGGUUAAGUGGGAAACGAUGUGGGAAGGCCCAGACAGCCAGGAUGUUGGCUUAGAAGCAGCCAUCAUUUAAAGAAAGCGUAAUAGCUCACUGGUCGAGUCGGCCUGCGCGGAAGAUGUAACGGGGCUAAACCAUGCACCGAAGCUGCGGCAGCGACACUAUGUGUUGUUGGGUAGGGGAGCGUUCUGUAAGCCGUUGAAGGUGGCCUGUGAGGGUUGCUGGAGGUAUCAGAAGUGCGAAUGCUGACAUAAGUAACGAUAAUGCGGGUGAAAAACCCGCACGCCGGAAGACCAAGGGUUCCUGUCCAACGUUAAUCGGGGCAGGGUGAGUCGACCCCUAAGGCGAGGCCGAAAGGCGUAGUCGAUGGGAAACAGGUUAAUAUUCCUGUACUCGGUGUUACUGCGAAGGGGGGACGGAGAAGGCUAUGUUGGCCGGGCGACGGUUGUCCCGGUUUAAGCAUGUAGGCGGAUGUUCCAGGUAAAUCCGGAACGUUAUCAACGCUGAGGUGUGAUGACGAGGCACUACGGUGCUGAAGUGACAAAUGCCCUGCUUCCAGGAAAAGCCUCUAAGCAUCAGGUAACAUCAAAUCGUACCCCAAACCGACACAGGUGGUCAGGUAGAGAAUACCAAGGCGCUUGAGAGAACUCGGGUGAAGGAACUAGGCAAAAUGGUGCCGUAACUUCGGGAGAAGGCACGCUGAUGGUAAGUGAAGCGACUUGCUCGUGGAGCUGAAAUCAGUCGAAGAUACCAGCUGGCUGCAACUGUUUAUUAAAAACACAGCACUGUGCAAACACGAAAGUGGACGUAUACGGUGUGACGCCUGCCCGGUGCCGGAAGGUUAAUUGAUGGGGUUAUCCGUAAGGAGAAGCUCUUGAUCGAAGCCCCGGUAAACGGCGGCCGUAACUAUAACGGUCCUAAGGUAGCGAAAUUCCUUGUCGGGUAAGUUCCGACCUGCACGAAUGGCGUAAUGAUGGCCAGGCUGUCUCCACCCGAGACUCAGUGAAAUUGAACUCGCUGUGAAGAUGCAGUGUACCCGCGGCAAGACGGAAAGACCCCGUGAACCUUUACUAUAGCUUGACACUGAACACUGGUCCUUGAUGUGUAGGAUAGGUGGGAGGCUUUGAAGUGUGGACGCCAGUCUGCAUGGAGCCAUCCUUGAAAUACCACCCUUUAAUGGCUGGUGUUCUAACGUGGGCCCCUAAUCGGGGUUGCGGACAGUGUCUGGUGGGUAGUUUGACUGGGGCGGUCUCCUCCUAAAGAGUAACGGAGGAGCACGAAGGUCAGCUAAUCCUGGUCGGACAUCAGGAGGUUAGUGCAAUGGCAUAAGCUGGCUUGACUGCGAGCGUGACGGCGCGAGCAGGUGCGAAAGCAGGUCAUAGUGAUCCGGUGGUUCUGAAUGGAAGGGCCAUCGCUCAACGGAUAAAAGGUACUCCGGGGAUAACAGGCUGAUACCGCCCAAGAGUUCAUAUCGACGGCGGUGUUUGGCACCUCGAUGUCGGCUCAUCACAUCCUGGGGCUGAAGUAGGUCCCAAGGGUAUGGCUGUUCGCCAUUUAAAGUGGUACGCGAGCUGGGUUUAGAACGUCGUGAGACAGUUCGGUCCCUAUCUGCCGUGGGCGCUGGAGAAUUGAGGGGGGCUGCUCCUAGUACGAGAGGACCGGAGUGGACGCAUCACUGGUGUUCGGGUUGUCAUGCCAAUGGCAUUGCCCGGUAGCUAAAUGCGGAAGAGAUAAGUGCUGAAAGCAUCUAAGCACGAAACUUGCCCCGAGAUGAGUUCUCCCUGACCCUUUAAGGGUCCUGAAGGAACGUUGAAGACGACGACGUUGAUAGGCCGGGUGUGUAAGCGCAGCGAUGCGUUGAGCUAACCGGUACUAAUGAACCGUGAGGCUUAACCUUACAACGCCGAAG